AAAAUAUGAGAUAGGAAAAUGUAGACUAAGGGAUCUAGGGUACUGAUUAAUCAGGGAGGUCUCUCUAAGGAGCCAGCCAUGAUCUGUGGAUAAAGAAUUCCAAGCUGGUGCCUCUGAUAACACCAUCUAGUCUGAGAUAAAUGCAGGGUGUUCAAAGUUCAGAACUGAGGUAGUGUGGUUGGAGAGAAGUCGAUGAGCAAGGAGAGUAAAGUAGAAAAUAAGGUUGGAUGUGUCUAGAUCAUGAUGGAUGACAGAACUCAAGGAGAUUUUUAAUGUGUUAUAAAUGUGGAAAACCAUUUCAGGAUUUUAUGCAGGGAAAUGAAAGAACCUGUUUAUCUAUUAAAAAGGCAAUUUGGCUGGUGAAUGGAGAAAGGGGGAAAAUCAUCUGUGAGUACGAGGUCAAGAAGUGACCAUUGGUUUUAGCAAUGUGAAAAUCAUUGUGACCUUGGCAAGAGCUUGGCAAGAGCCUUUUUCCCAGAAGAAGCAACAAAUGAAUUUCCAUAGUCUUUGGUCAAAGAGAAAAUACAAGAUGAGGAAGUAGAAUCCAAGAACUACAUCUUUGUCUGCCAUAUCAUGAGAACACCUGUGCAGCCCAUGGAAAGGUACCUGCGGAAGAAACAAAGAUGUCCACACAAUAGCCCGGGACACAAGUGAUCCUGAAAGUGGAUCUUCCGGCCCCAGGUGACUGCAGCCCAGCCAACGACUUCCCUGCAACCUCAAGAGAAACAACACCCAGCUACGUGGCUCCUGGAUUUGUAACACCUGGAACCAGAAGAAAAGAAGACCUGGCUGGUGGAAAGAGACCUAAGAUUCUCCCUCUAAGAAGUGUCCUAUCUAAAAAAUCAUUGCCAAG